AGUUCCUUAGUGUAGUGGUUAUCACGUUUCCUUUACAAAAUUUUCAAUCGGAAAAGGUCGUGGGUUCAAUCCCCACAGGGACUA
rnacentral:tRNA from 1 species